rnacentral:lncRNA from 1 species
ACAUGCUGUAUAAGAUAAUCGUUCAUUGUACAUGGUGUCAUUUUCCUCAAAUUACUCCACCAAAAAAGAGCCCCAACCUGAUGAACAAAUUUGUAUGCAUGAAUAAUUUUUUUUGCAUGUAUGUGAAUCUUAUUUUGAUUAGCUAAUGAAUAUCUGAUUAGAUAACUGAAAACCAUUCAAAAUUCUAGAGCCUCCCACACUAUCUUUGGGCCCCUACUGUGGGGACCAUAGUUGAGGUGAGAUUAUGGUAUAUAACACAGUGCUUCUGAUACCUCCACUCACAAACUUGCCUUGGAUAAGGAAGGCAUGAGACCUUUGGGUCUACACCCAUUUUUCUGCCACAUGAGUUGUUAAAGUGAGGCUCCAGGGCAUCUCUUUUUAAAAACCAGAUGGUUUCUUUCCAUGACAUCCAUCCAAGACAUUUUUUUUUUUUUUAGCACUCACAAUGUCCACACAUACCCACACCAGCUCUAUAGGUCUACCAUUUGAAUUGCUAAUUCUUAUACAGGGAAACUUCACCUGUACAGAAAAUGGAUACUGUCAGCUGAACAACAUGGCAAACUUCAUGAAGCACUGCCCAAUCAUACCGCUCAACAUGCACCUUGGGGCACCUCUCUUGGGGACCUCUUUACAAUUUGGACCUAAUCUAUACCAAUCAUAGUAACAGCCACUUUUGCAUCCUAUGGCAAGAUAAAAAUCAGCUGUCACAUCCUCCAGAGGGAAGAAAAGUUUCAUGAAUCUAUAAGAUCCACAGUAUUUCUUGGAGAUGUUGCGUACCAAAGAAGGUAUAACGACAACCAGGUUGCACAAAACAUCUGGGAAUAAACUAGAAGACUCAGUAACGACUCCAUGGAGUAUGAACUUUCCCUUCGGCACCAGACACCACAUUUAUUACAGAUGUCGACAAGAACGCUGCCAGUGGAGUCUCUGCUUUAUAAAGGAAUCAUCCCUGCUCUUUCCACAUGUGGACUCAUGAGUCAAUUUUGAAACUACGGUUCUGAAGAAAGAGCGGAUGACAGCGACCUUUCUUCCCUAGACCCUGGCUGGGGGAGGUAGGACAGUGAGACAGCGACAGGAAGCAGAGUCCCUCGCAACAAAGAGACCCCCGCGCAACUCCAAAGUAGGCAACUUGGAGAUUAUCUC